rnacentral:pre_miRNA from 1 species
GAAGUUCUGUCAUACACUCUGACUGUAAGUAACUGCAAGUCAGUGCAUCACAGAACUUUGU